rnacentral:rRNA from 1 species
AUGACGAUCAUGAGUUGGAACUGUCGAGGCCUCGGGCAACCUCGGACAGUUCAAGAGCUAGUGUGCUUAGUGCACACUUACAAGCCCAAGCUCGUCUUCCUUACUGAAACUCGCUAGAAUAAUAAGUACGUCUCUAAUCUCAAGUGGAGACUUAGUCUCCGUCAUUGUAUCUUGCAUCCCGGUGCUGGGAAAGGCGCCAGCAUUGCCCUCUUUUAUGAUGAGAGUGUGGAAAUAAAAAAGAUUGGCAUGGGGACGAGAUACAUCGAUGUGUUGAUCCGCUUGAACCCUAAUGGUCCCCAAUGGAGAGGCACCUUUGUGUAUGGUGAACCAAAAGCUCAUGAGCAUCAUCUCAUGUGGACGCUGCUGAGACGUAUAAGAGACACUAGCACCCUCCCUUGGCUCAUGUUGGGGGAUUUCAAUGAGACCAUGUGGCAGUCAGAGCAUUUUUCAACAACCAAAAGGUCGGAGAGAUAUAUGGAAAACUUCCGCAAAGUUUUGUCAGAUUGCAACCUUUUUGAUUUGGGUUUCAAAGGACCAGGCUGGACCUACGACAAUAAGCAGCAUGGAAAUAGCAAUGUUCGUGCGAGACUCGAUAGAUGUGUUGCCUCUCUGGAGUGGUCAGAUUUGUUCAGAAACGCUGCGGUGGAACACAUCUGCUCUUCAAGAUCAGAUCAUCUCCCAGUUCUGCUAAGAUUGGGGAGUAGAAAAGAGUGGAGACGGGUUGAUCAGAACAGAGAGGGUUUGUUCAGAUAUGAAUAG